ACUAAGUAUCCUAAUUAUAAGUUAAUAAUUUUUGUUGGUAGGACAGUUUAGUUGGGGCGACUACCUUUGAAUAAGAAACGAAGGCGAGCUUAUGGUAUUAUUAAAAUCUCAUUAGCCUCACAGUGAGGGGGACACCCCUAGCUGGCACAAGGACUUCCCCGCAUAGUAUAUAGUAUAUACGUAAGGGGGUUCCUAUGUGGGCGAUAGUGACCCGAUAUGAUUAUCCAAAAU
rnacentral:rRNA from 1 species